rnacentral:rRNA from 1 species
AUUGAACGCUGGCGGUAUGCUUAACAUAUGCAAGUCGAACGGCAGCACGGUAUGUAGCAAUACAUAUGGGUGGCAAGUGGCGGACGGGUGAGUAACGCGUAGGAAUCUGCCCUCAAGCGGGGGACAACCCGAGGAAACUCGGGCUAAUACCGCAUAAAUUCGGAAGAGAAAAGCUGGGGUAACCUGGCACUUGAGGAGGAGCCUGCGUCUGAUUAGCUAGUUGGUAGGGUAAGGGCCUACCAAGGCGAUGAUCAGUAGCUGGUCUGAGAGGAUGACCAGCCACACUGGAACUGGGUCACGGUCCAGACUCCUACGGGAGGCAGCAGUGGGGAAUAUUGGACAAUGGGGGAAACCCUGAUCCAGCAAUACCGCGUGUGUGAAGAAGGCCUUCGGGUUGUAAAGCACUUUAGUUGGGGAGGAAGGUUAGCAGUUUAAGAGAUGGCUAAUUUGACUGUACCCAAAGAAUAAGCACCGGCUAACUCUGUGCCAGCCGCCGCGGUAA